CUCGAUUUCUCCCCACAGACGUACCGGCUAGUAGGUCAGCUGGUCAUUGUGAACGGUCCUGGGACUAGGCUGGGGUUAAAUCGCUGGGUUACUGGGCAGUGCGGCUCAUUGAGCCAGAAGACCCUGAUCCACACUGUAUCGAAAUGAAUAAACAACAUUCCUGAUUGGCAAGGGGGGGGGGCGUUAAGGGUUACAGGGGGAAAGCAGGACAAUGUGGUGAAGAAAAAUCAACCAUGACGGGCUGGGAGUCUGCUAUUCCUCCGCUCCCGGGUUGAGUUGUCGCCAGUGCUCGCCGUGACAGAGUCUGCUGUUCUUCCGCACCAGGAUUCAGUCGUUACCAGUGCUCAGUGACAGAGACUGCCGAUCCUCCACUCCUGGCUUCGGUCGUUGCUAUAGACUGAGGGAUCCACGGAGUCUAAGUUGGGAACCCCUACUCUUGUGGUUAUGCGAAGUAUAAUUCCCGAAGCUUUGUCCUACACUAGAUGCUGCCUGACCUGCUGAGUUCCUCCAGCAUUCUGUGUGUGUGUUGCUCUGGAUUUCUCGAGUUCAGUUCGGCCAGUGACAUAGCAGAUCGUGUGAAGCUAUAACAACACCAGCGACCAGGGUUCAAGGAGUUUGUGUGUUCUACCCUUGACUGCGUGGGUUUCCUCCGGGUGCUCUGGUUUCCUCCCACACUCCAGAGCUGAGUUAGUGAGUUGUGGGCAUGCAAUGUUGGUGCUGGAAGUGUAGCGACACUUGCAGGCACAUCAUUGACUGUGCUGGUUGUUGACAUAAACGACACAUUUCACGGUAUGCUUCGAAGUAUAUGUGGUAAAUAAAGCUAGUCCAAUCUAGAUCCCAUCAAUGGUAAACCUCUCCAUCCCAGAGAGGUGCCAUCAUUGGGGAGAAGGGGCGUGAAGCCAUGGAUGAGGAUCAGGAAAGAUCUGAUUAUAACCAGGAAACUCCAUGUUCCCAUCUAUUGCCCAGUAACCCUCUCCUUCCCCCUCACAUCUCCUCUGUUUAUCCACAUCCACCUCAGAUUCAGACUCCCCUUCCACCACCUUUUGAGGAAGACUCAGCCCCCUUGGAGAGGAAAACAUACCAGCUGCUGAAGCUCCAGGUAAAGACACUGGAGCCUCUGUCCUCCUACCAAUGCAGGAUUUGUGGCCUUUUGUAUCUUGGCAUGCAGCUGAUGCACUCACGUAAAUGCCUUUCACAUGGUAGUUUUAGUGGUCUCACCAUUUUUGUUGUCUGCUUCCUUUGAUAUUUUGUGUUCAUUACAACAAAGCUCUCAAGGCCUGCUUGCACGUGUGAGGCCUUCUGAGGGAGGCCAUCAAAGAUGCAGCUGCAGGCCCAGGCCUGGAUCUGAAGGCCCUGCCCUUAGUUUAC